UGGACAGAACAUCUAUUCACGGAGACACCAUUGAUUACACGAAAGAGCUCCUGGAAAUAAUCAACAAAUUGCAAGAACAAGAAAUGGAAGAGGCUAAAAAUUAACUUAACCUAAUGGGCAUCUACAAGGAGCUAAAGCCAAAUGAAGUUUGGUGAGAAAGUCCCCCAAGCUUGAUGUGGAGAGGAAGGACAUGGAUACCCGGAUUGGUAUAUGUCGUGCAGCUAAGCCAGGAUUGUUGCUAUCAGGCUAUGGGGGAAGAGGUCUGUAGAAGAAGACAAAAAAUUAUUUUGGAGUAGUUUACAAGGCUUGAAGAUAUGGAUUUUUAAAGUUGUUCUUCAUAGGAAUUUUACAAGUGAGAAGGUUUAAUAAUAAUGUCUUAUAAAUAAAGUGUUGCUCAUUUA